rnacentral:lncRNA from 1 species
UGAAUAUUUUAACACCCUUGGCGGACUCGGUUAGAUGCCUUGGCCAAGGUAUCCCCGAGGAUUAGUUUUGGCUUGAGCCUUGUUUUAAUAAAAGACAUAAGCCUUAACAACUGUUUUGGUAAAUUACAAAUAUUUUAUGGUUUAAGAAACAAAUUGAAAAUAUUAUGAAAUGGGUUGAAAUUUGUUGUUUAAACUUGCCUCCAUUUU